CCCUGAAGGAACGUUAAAGACUAUGACGUUGAUAGGCUGGGUGUGUAAGUGCAGCGAUGCAUUGAGCUAACCAGUACUAAUGAUCCGUGAGGCUUAACCUU
rnacentral:rRNA from 1 species